rnacentral:rRNA from 1 species
UACGGGGGGGCAAGCGUUGUUCGGAAUUACUGGGCGUAAAGGGCGCGUAGGCGGCCCGCUAAGUCGAACGUGAAAUCCCCAGGCUCAACCUGGGAACUGCGUCCGAUACUGGCAGGCUUGAAUCCGGGAGAGGGAUGUGGAAUUCCAGGUGUAGCGGUGAAAUGCGUAGAUAUCUGGAGGAACACCGGUGGCGAAGGCGGCAUCCUGGACCGGCAUUGACGCUGAGGCGCGAAAGCCAGGGGAGCAAACGGG